GUAGGCAUAGCUCAGUGGCACAGCACUUGCCUGGAAAGCACGAGGUCCUGAGUUUGAUUCUCAGUACA
rnacentral:tRNA from 1 species